rnacentral:lncRNA from 1 species
CUUAAUGUUAUAUAAAGUACAUAUCAUUCUGUAAUUACUGUUUGUAAUUUUGGAAAACAACUUGAAAGGAGGGCGAGACAUUUGUUUUGAGGCGCAGAUAGCCCCAAGCUAACAGCACGUUCCAUCUUACUGCCGAGUUAAACACAUUAUAAGAUGAGGCUAAAAACCAGGCUAAACCUAUCUAUACUUAUAUAAAGAAAUAAACUUCAGAUCUAAACUGUUCUUCCUAGAGGUCCAGUAAGGGUCAUCUUUUAUAUUGAUUCAGGAUUACUAUAGGAGGAAACCUAAAUUAAACUAACUUUAUUUAUAUUGCUUGGAUAGCUCUAUUAGUUCUAAAUCGGCACGACGAACUCGUUCUGUGUUGUAUAUCUGCUGCCUGUUUGUUUGUUUAAUAACAAAAUUUUGAGUAAUAGUGUUAUCCCAAAAUAUCUUAAAAUACAAAAAAGGGCUCAGUUCAUCUACAUUAUCAUGUAGAGUAAAUUCUGAAAAGGAGGCAGAAUCGACUGCUUCUUGUUCCUUCUGUAUGUCUCAUCAACUUUCAUUCUCGUUUGCCUAGCGCUUAACUGUGUCAUUGUCAUAAAUGAAACACAGGUGUGGCCACCUUGUGCGACUGCAGCGCAAUAAUACUCUUCAAAAAUAUUGCUCGUGCAUGUAUUCCACGUGUAAUGCACAACGGUAUUCGUGUUAUUUCAAUGUAGUUAUUCUUGAGAAGAAGUAGCUCGAGGAUGGAAUCUUAUUAUUUUAUCAACCUCAUAUUCAUAUUUGCUGUGAACGUAUUCUUCUUUUUCUCAGGAAUUUGUUUUCCCUAGAGGUCAAAUAAGGGUCAUCUCUUAUAUUGAUCUAGUGUUACUACAAGAGGAAACCUAAACUAAACUAUUUUUAUAUUGCAUAGAUAGCUCUGUCAUUUCUAAAUCAGUAUGAUGACGCGUUCUCUGUUGUAUGUAACAGGCACUUGCCUGUG